AUAAAUUUUGUUCUUUUAAAAUUGAUGAAAACGGUGAUUUGACCAACCGAGAAAAAUGAAGAAUUAAAUUGAUAUUGUGAAGUACUACUUUUUUAGCUGUUCUUAUCAGCUCGAAGUGAAAGGUCAUAUUGAAAGCAGAAGCAAAUAAACUAAAUAAAUCACCAAUACUGACUUAAUUUCAGUAAAGAAUCCGUAACUUGAGACGUUGGUGACGAGACAACAAAAAUAAAAAUAAAAUGAAAGUGCUUAUCUUAGUUAUAACUGUGAUUUUUAUAAAAACAGAGGCUUGGAUAGGUGUCAUAGAGUUUAACGGCAAUUAUACAAGUCAUUGUUAUGCAGAACAAUAUAACAUCGGUUCAAUGGAAGAGAACGAAACAAGGCGCAUUCAAGGAUUAUGUGCAGAGGCCGUAUGUCAAAAAGAUAGAAGUAUUAAGUUAACAGGAUGUGCACCUAUGAUGGUAAAACCACCUUGCUACAUGGUUGAUGGCAAUAUAUCAAAACCAUUCCCUACUUGCUGUUAUGAGAUACGUUGUGAUAAAUCCAGUUAAACCAUAGAAUUCAAUUUUGUCUAAAGUUAACGACAUUAAAUAAAUUGUAUUCCAA